rnacentral:rRNA from 1 species
UACGUAGGUGACGAGCGUUGUCCGGAUUUAUUGGGCGUAAAGAGCUCGUAGGUGGUUUGUCGCGUUGUUCGUGAAAACCGGGGGCUUAACCCUCGGCGUGCGGGCGAUACGGGCAGACUUGAGUACUGCAGGGGAGACUGGAAUUCCUGGUGUAGCGGUGGAAUGCGCAGAUAUCAGGAGGAACACCGGUGGCGAAGGCGGGUCUCUGGGCAGUAACUGACGCUGAGGAGCGAAAGCGUGGGGAGCGAACAGG